GGUCGUGAGCCCUGACAUCGUAACGUGGAGGUUUCUCAUGGGUGAACACAAAGGUCGAUGACGAAAGGUCACGUGACAGCGACCACCGACCAGCGACCAGACCCCCGCCUUCCGCCACUCGUCUAUAUGUAUCGGUGCUCCGAGAGUUCACAAAACAGAACCAGAUUCCUUCCGUCGCUACCACGUCGAAAAGGGCUUUGAUAUGGAAAAACGUGGUGGCAGUGGAGGAAGCCAAAUCUUUGAAAAUUUGGGCACUUUUUUGCGAAAAUGCAUUUUUUCUGUUCUUUCUGUUGGUCCCAUCCCUAACCACAUUGCCUUUAUCAUGGAUGGGAACCGCAGAUUUGCCAAGAAGCAGAAUUUGAUAGAAGGGGCUGGUCAUAAGGUUGGGUACUUAGCUCUUAUGUCCAUGCUCAGGUACUCAUAUGAGUUGGGCGUGAAAUAUGUAACAAUUUAUGCCUUCAGCAUUGAAAAUUUUAAACGACGUCCUGAAGAAGUUCAAUCUGUGAUGGAUCUGAUGCAAGAAAAGAUUGAGCAGUUAAUUAAUGAAGAGAGCAUUUUGAACCACUUUGGAGUUAGGGUUCAUUUUAUAGGGAAUCUGAAACUCUUGAGUGCACCGGUCAGGUUGGCAGCAGAGCGGGCUAUGCUGGUCACUGCCUGUAACUCCAAGGCGGUGCUUUCAAUUUGUGUUGCCUAUACUUCCACCAAUGAGAUUAUGCAUGCUGUUGAAGAAUCUUGUGUAAAAAAAUGGGAUGAGAUAAGAGAACUAAAGGCAAGUGGAGUUGAUUGUGGUUUAACUAAACUUGAAGGAUAUGAAAAGGGUGAAGCACAGGACCUUAUAAAUUUAACAGAUAUUGAGAAGCAUUUGUAUAUGGCAGUUGCACCUGAUCCUGAUAUAUUAAUUCGCACUUCUGGUGAAACCCGCUUGAGCAAUUUUCUACUCUGGCAGAGUCAGUACUGUUAUUUGUACUCUCCAUCUGUGCUUUGGCCAGAGAUUGGUUUUUGGCAUUUGCUUUGGGCAGUUUUGAACUUUCAGCGCAAUCACUUUUAUUUGGAGAAAAAAAAGAAACAACUAUAAGUCUUGCAAAUGGAUGGCAGGGCAGUUUUCACCUCUGGACUCUAAUAUGACUGUAUUGGUUCAUUGGCUCUCUCUUUGUUCUUGAUUUAUUCUCUGUGACAAAAGCUGAUUGCAACAUGGAAGGACUGUUCCUAGUGCUGCUACACUGGAUUCUUUGGCUGAGAAUGCAUCAAGGGGCUACAUCAUAAGGAUAUUUUGUCCAUUGCAGUGGCCAAGUGUUUGUUGGGUGAUACUGUUGCAGAUCAAGAUAUGAUAAGUGGAGCUGACCACCUCAACUUGUUCCUGAAGAUGCAAGAGCUGAAGUAUCCUAAAUCCCCAAUGAAGAGGACUAUAGAUCAAUACGCUAAAGAUAGGCAUUACUAAAAGAUGGUCUUUUCUCACUAGCCAAUAUACUAUGUUUGACUUCAACAUAUUUGCAAUCAAUGAUAGAGAGAAAUUAACAACCUGAAACUCUUCUCUUUGCCUUUUCUAAAUUUCUAUAUCAGUAAACAAUAGUUAAUAGCAAUUUAGUUUCUUCCACAUGCAUAAUGCCCAAAGAUUUCUUGUCUUACUUUGUCUUAAAAAUAUCCUUGCAGCUUACAGAUUUGGAAAAAAUAUAUAUAUUUUUUCUUGGAGUAUGUCACUCUAACUGCAUCUCAUAUCUCCUUUAUAGUUUCUAGAAGCAUGCAAUUGACACCAACAGAGGAUUCCAUACUCUUCCAUAACCAUAUUAUUAUACUGAAAUGAUCGUAUUACUCAUCAUAACUCCUUGAUUUGUGGAAAACAAUUAUCUUCAACAGUAUGCUUUAGUUUACUCUGUCUCAAUAUACACCCUCAGGUCCUUCAUAGCUUUAGCCCACAAUAAAUAUCUAAGUGUUUUACAACUCAACUGGACUACGGUUUGCGCUUCAAAAGUUUGAGAGUGUUGGUUUUUUCUGUGUUUUUAGUUUUCUUUAGUUGAGUGUUUUCUCUUUUGUUCAGUUUUUAUUUUGUGGGAAGGACCUCUCAUCCUUCUUUUGGUUUCUUCUCUUUCUCUUGUAUCUCUUCUUUUUCUUGUAUUUUUUCCUCUAUUAAUAUACUUUUCUUCGUUUCUGAUAAAAAAAAAAAAAAUAUACACCCUCAGGUCCUUCAUAGCUUUAGCCCACAAUAAAUAAUUAGGUCUCUUUUCUGUCACUAAUGUGAUUUGAAUACCAAUACCAUCUCCAAAUUUGUGAUCACCGAAUGCCAUAAUUUAACUAUUGAAGGGAGAAAAUAAGAACUACAACACUUAUCUUUAAAGCAAAGGGAUGUUAGUCAACUUCAACAUUGGCAGGAACUUGCAUUAUAAUUGCAUAACAUGACAUGGGUGAUACACAUCUUACACACCAACAAUCAUAGAGAAGGAUUGUUGUACUACAGACAUAAGAAUAGUACUUGCAUAACAUGGGCACAAGGAGUGGCAUAACACUUGGAUCAGAUACUUUCAGGUGUGGGAUACUAUAGUGGUACUAUGACUUGGGUACUAUAGUGGGGUUACAGCAACAUCAGUACUGUAGUCAAUGUUUUAAAAGGCUAUUAAGGCGUAUGCCUUGAGGCUUAUGUUUUAAGGCUUUGUGAAUUAGUUUUAAGGCUAAGUCUCAAUUAGGGUAUUUGAGUCUUAAAUCUCGCCUGAUUAAGGUUUAUAACCUUAAGGCUAUAUUGAGGUUUAAGCCACAAAUAUUUAAAGGGUUUUCAUGGGUUUGGGGCCUUUCUGGACUUUUGGAAUAUUAUACAAGGCUUAAGCCUAAUUUAAUGAGCUUAAAUUGGUUUCAUACUUUUGUGGGCUUUUAAUAUAGAUUUUAUAAGUUGUCUUAUUCUGUUAUAAAAUAGCACAUAUGUGUGUGUAUGUGUGUAUUGUUUGCUGAAUACCAUAACCCUAGCUAAAUAAAACUCUUACUAAUAAUCCUUUAACAUUCCCCUUUUCUUUUCUUUGGUAUUUCUUGUGUUUGUUAUAUGCUUCCUAUGUACUAGGGUUUGACCCCCUAUCAAUGCUUUUUUAUAUUUUGUGUUUGCCUAUCAAAAGAAGUGUGAAUGCAAUCUCAUUUUCCUUUUUCUUCUCUUUUUCUUCAUACAGGACUUUAAAUUAUUUUAAUUGUUGAUACUGUUAUUCCACUUUAAGCAAUCAAUGGAGGUCAACAGAGAGUUCCACAUUAUGUCAAAAGAAGCUAAUUCAAUUUGUACUAGAAGAAUGUGCAUGGCUCCCUCAGUUUUUAAAGUGGCACAAGAACAAUCAUAUGCUGAUUCUAUGGAAGGAAUUGCUUCUCAUGUAAUUUCUUGCUCUGGCACUUUGAUUGGGCUUGUGGUAAAUUGGUCAAUCACUGGAUGGAAGAUUGGUCUUGAUUUUCAGGCUUAAGUUAUGUAUAUUAGUGAGAUAAAGAGCCAAGGAUUAUCUUCUUCCAAGAUCUAUAUAAAAAUCAGAACGGACAUGGUUGGAAAGGCUUUCCUCAUUGAAUUUUUUUUUUUCAUUUUUUUUGUUUAUUUAUUUUAUUAUCAUUGUGGUGUUCUGGGGCAGGGAUAUGCUAAAUGUAAAAUAUGCGAAAUGUACAUUUAUUUUCCCUUAUUAUAUUUCAGUGGCAUGAAUUUAUUUCUGGUCA